rnacentral:rRNA from 1 species
CCUACGGGAGGCAGCAGUGGGGAAUAUUGGGCAAUGGGCGCAAGCCUGACCCAGCAACGCCGCGUGAAGGAAGAAGGUUUUCGGGUUGUAAACUUCUUUUGUCAGAGACGAAGCAAGUGACGGUACCUGACGAAUAAGCCACGGCUAACUACGCGCCAGCAGCCGCGGUAAUACGUAGGUGGCAAGCGUUAUCCGGAUUUACUGGGUGUAAAGGGCGUGUAGGCGGGACUGCAAGUCAGAUGUGAAAACCACGGGCUCAACCUGUGGCCUGCAUUUGAAACUGUAGUUCUUGAGUGCUGGAGAGGCAGACGGAAUUCCUGGUGUAGCGGUAAAAUGCGUAGAUAUUAAGAGGAACACCAGUGGCGAAGGCGAUCUGCUGGAAAGCAACUGACGCUGAGGCGCGAAAGCGUGGGGAGCAAACAGGAUUAGAUACCCGGGUAGUC